rnacentral:lncRNA from 1 species
AAAGGGGCUUAAACCCCAAAUACACUUUAACGAUCAAUACAAAAGAUCAAAACAUAAACUUUUGCAUCAGACUCAGGCAAUGCAAAAGCAAGAAGUCAAAGAACCUCAACACCCCUGCAAAAUUAGACAAAACCCAUCACCAAACUACAUCACUACAUCAUUUACAUUCUCAAAAUCACAAAAAUGCUCAAUCUUGGUGACAUAAAAGAGAUCUACAUGAAGUCUUUUUAUCACCAACAGAAAUGAUAAACGACAAAAAAGAAGAAGAAAGCAAAUACAUGCCAUUUCAAGCCGUAGAAAUGACCCAAUACAGAAAUGUUACUUAUAAAGUACGAUCAAGAAGGAAAAACUGACCUUGAAUGAGAAAUCUGAAGAGAAAUGGAUACCCUAUCUCAUCUGAAAAACCAAAGGACACGAGUGAGGGAAACCUGAAAGCACUUUCGUGUCUUGUAAAAAUCAGAC